GUUCAUUCGGAUCUAUAUAAAAGGCACUACCCAGUAAUUCAGACCACUUUCUUUCCUGUUCCCUCUAAACCCUGGCCGACAACUUCAUCGUAUUCUUUGUUCUUCUUUGCUAAUCUGCCCUCUCAAUUCGAAGAUGAAGAUGAGCAUCAGUCUUGAUGUAAACUCCAUGGCGUCCAGGCUAACAAGAGAUCUGGGCACUCCAAAUAAGUGAGACAGGCAAGAGUAAGACAGCCGCAAAUAUCUUUUUUCGUGCUCACAUGAAUUGGAACCUUUAGUUAUGUUUUUGGAUGAUAUUAUUUUUUUGUUUAAUUUUAUAGUUCAUUUUUAGUUUUGUAAAUCAUGAAGAAUAAGAGCCUUUUAACAGCUGCUUAAUAACCCAUUUUCUCAAGUGUUGUUGGUGCUGGUAUAUUUGCUUUAAGAAGUAUUGGUUAGAAAUUGGAAGGAUAUAUGCUCGGUUCUGAAAGACGCUGUCAAAGUUGGAGUAGGUGGGGAAGAAAAGUUGGGGGACAAAGCGCGGAUGGAGAGGGAAAAAAAUUCUUAGUCACUCAGUUUAUAAAUGAGGCGGCAAAUCGGAUCCGGAACAAGGUGGCGGCUGAAGAUUUUAGAUGGAACCUAUGAGUUCUAAAAGAGGUCCUUUUCUUUAUCUGGAAGCUCGUGCAGGGCUGCAUCGCUGAAAAAAUUGUGCUUCUGCAGCGUGGGGUUUCUAUUAUGUUAACGAGAGUUUUGCCUAUUGAGGAGAGACUCGGAACUUUGGAAGUGAUGGGUUCAAAAGCAUCUCAGCUCAUAUAAAAGAUAUUACAUCCAGUUAUGAAGCAGUUUGCUCCAGAAGAUGGUUUGGUUUCUUUGAUGGUUUGCUCUAGAUCUUGUGAUAACGAGUUUAAUUUGUUACAUCCUAUGGAUAUUGUUGGCAAAACGAAAGAGCAUACUUCUCUCCUGAAAGGGUCACCGUGGUUUCCAUAUGCACCCAAUAACAAAUUCAAUUUGGCAGGUGGCAGGAUACUGAGUUUCCUGUGACAUAAAGAGACCGUCUAGGUCUUCGAAGAAGAGCAAAACAAUUUACUUAAACAUAUGGAGAAAAGAGACACGAAAUAUAUGCGCCUUCAGAGGCAUAAAAUGGGUGCCGAUGAUUUUGAGCCAUUAACAAUGAUAGGAAAAAGGUCCAUUUGGAGAGGUUAGAAUAUGUAGGGAGAAGACUACCGGCAAUGUGUAUGCAAUGAAAAAA
rnacentral:lncRNA from 1 species